rnacentral:rRNA from 1 species
AACGAACGCUGGCGGCAUGCCUAACACAUGCAAGUCGAACGAUACCUUCGGGUCGAUUGGCUCACUGGUGCGUAACGCGUGGCAACCUGCCCUUAUGUUCGGAAUAACUCCCCGGAAGGGGUUCUAUUACCGGAUAAUUUCUUCGUACCAAAGAUUUAUCGCCUUUGGAUGGGCCCGCGUUUGAUUAGCUAGUUGGUAGGGUAAAAGCCUACCAAGGCGACGAGCCAUAGAUGGUCUGAGAGGAUUAUCAGCCACACUGUGACUGAGACACGGCGCAGACUACUACGGGAGGCAGCAGUGGGGAAUAUUGGAAAAUGGGGGAAAGCAUGAACCAGCAAUGCCGCGUGAGUGAUGAAGGCGUUAGGGUUGUAAAGAUCUUUUACACGGGAUGAUAAUGACAGUACCGGGAGAAUAAGCUCCGGCUAACUCCGUG